rnacentral:misc_RNA from 1 species
GAUGAAGAACGCAGCGAAAUGCGAUAAGUAAUGUGAAUUGCAGAAUUCAGUGAAUCAUCGAAUCUUUGAACGCACAUUGCGCCCGCCAGUAUUCUGGCGGGCAUGCCUGUUCGAGCGUCAUUUCAACCAUCAAGCCCCCGGCUUGUGUUGGGGACCUGCGGCUGCCGCAGGCCCUGAAAAGCAGUGGCGGGCUCGCUGUCACACCGAGCGUAGUAGAUUUCAUCUCGCUCAGGGCGUGCUGCGGGUUCCGGCCGUUAAACCACCUUCAUAACCCAAGGUUGACCUCGGAUCAGGUAGGAAGACCCGCUGAACUUAAGCAUAUAAAUAAGCGGAGGA